rnacentral:lncRNA from 1 species
CUAGUAAAUACACCAAAUAUAUUUAUAAACAUAUAAACUUAUUAUUUUCUUCAAUUGUCCAAGUACAUUCAAUAUUGAUAAUUUUUUGCUUGACAUUACAUAAUUUUGUUGAACUUUAAAACUCUUUUUUUGUGUGCUAUUUUAUUCAAUUGUACAUAUUUGAAGUUUUAAUUACACCUUAUUAUUUUUAUUCUUGCAUACAGCAUUUGGAAUGAAAUCCCAUAACAUUUUAAUUAAUGUUCGAGCAGCAGGAUGGUUUUUGAAUUUAGCAAUUAUGUAAAUCAUGUAAAUAAUGUUAUGUUUUUUUAUUUUUUGCUUUUUGAAGUUUUUAAAAU